UCUUGGCUAAUGUGUCUUGGCUAAGGUGUCUCGGCUAAGGUGUCUUGGCUAAUGUGUCUUGGCUAAUGUGUCUUGGCUAAUGUGUCUUGGCUAAGGUGUCUUGGCUAAUGUGUCUUGGCUAAGGUGUCUUGGCUAAGGUGUCUUGGCUAAUGUGUCUUGGCUAAGGUGUCUCGGCUAAUGUGUCUUGGCUAAGGUGUCUUGGCUAAUGUUUCUCGGCUAAUGUGUCUUGGCUAAGGUGUCUUGGCUAAGGUGUCUUGGCUAAGGUGUCUUGGCUAAUGUGUCUCGGCUAAUGUGCCUUGGCUAAGGUGUCUUGGCUAAUGUGUCUUGGCUAAGGUGUCUCGGCUAAGGUGUCUUGGCUAAGGUGUCUUGGCUAAUGUGUCUUGGCUAAUGUGUCUUGGCUAAGGUGUCUUGGCUAAUGUGUCUUGGAUAAGGUGUCUUGGCUAAUGUGUCUUGGCUAAGGUGUCUUGGCUAAUGUGUCUUGGCUAAGGUGUCUUGGCUAAUGUGUCUUGGCUAAGGUGUCUCGGCUAAUGUGUCUUGGCUAAGGUGUCUUGGCUAAUGUUUCUCGGCUAAUGUGUCUUGGCUAAGGUGUCUUGGCUAAGGUGUCUUGGCUAAUGUGUCUUGGCUAAUGUGUCUUGGCUAAGGUGUCUUGUCUAAAGUGUCUUGGCUAAUGUGUCUUGGCUAAUGUGUCUUGGCUAAGGUGUCUUGGCUAAUGUGUCUUGGCUAAGGUGUCUUGGCUAAUGUGUCUUGGCUAAGGUGUCUUGGCUAAUGUGUCUCGGCUAAUGUGUCUUGGCUAAGGUGUCUUGGCUAAGGUGUCUCGGCCAAUGUGUCUUGGCUAAAGUGUCUCGGCUAAUGUGUCUUGGCUAAUGUGUCUUGGCUAAGGUGUCUUGGCUAAUGUGUCUCGGCUAAUGUGUCUUGGCUAAGGCGUUUUGGCUAAUGUGUCUUGGCUAAUGUGUCUUGGCUAAGGUGUCUUGGCUAAUGUGUCUUGGCU